GAUGAACGCUGGCGGCGUGCCUAAUACAUGCAAGUCGAGCGAACAGACGAGGAGCUUGCUCCUCUGACGUUAGCGGCGGACGGGUGAGUAACACGUGGAUAACCUACCUAUAAGACUGGGAUCACUUCGGGAAACCGGAUCUAAUACCGGAUAAUAUAUUGAACCGCAUGGUUCAAUAGUGAAAGACGGUUUUGCUGUCACUUAUAGCUGGAUCCGCGCCGCAUUAGCUAGUUGGUAAGGUAACGGCUUACCAAGGCGACGAUGCGUAGCCGACCUGACGGGGGGAUAGGCCACACGAGAAGUGAGACACGGUCCAGACGCCUGAGGGAGGCAGCAGUAGGGAAUCUUACGCAGUGGGCGAAAGCCUGACGGAGCAGCGCCGCGUGAGUGAUGAAGGUCUUCGGAUCGUAAAACUCGGUUAUUAGGGAAGAACAAAUGUGUAAGUAGCUAUGCACGUCUUGACGGUACCUAAUCAGAAAGCCACGGCUAACUACGUG
rnacentral:rRNA from 1 species